GAUGAACGCUGGCGGCGUGCCUAAUACAUGCAAGUCGAGCGAACAGAUGAGGAUCUUGCUCCUCUGACGUUAGCGGCGGACGGGUGAGUAACACGUGGAUAACCUACCUAUAAGACUGGGAUAACUUCGGGAAACCUGAGCUAAUACCGGAUAAUAUAUUGAACCGCAUGGUUCAAUAGUGAAAUACGGUUUUUCUGUCACUUAUAGAUGGAUCCGCGCCGCAUUAGCUAGUUGGUAAGGUAACGGCUUACCAAGGCAACGAUGCGUAGCCGACCUGAGAGGGUGAUCGGCCACACUGGAACUGAGAAACGGUACAGACUCCUACGGGAGGCAGCAGUAGGGAAUCUUACGCAAUGGGCGAGAGCGUGACGGAGCAAAGCCGCGUGAGUGAUGAAGGUCUUCGGAUCGUAAAACUCUGUUAUUAGGGAAGAACAAAUGUGUAAGUAACUAUGCACGUCUUGACGGUACCUAAUCAGAAAGCCACGGCUAACUACGUG
rnacentral:rRNA from 1 species